rnacentral:rRNA from 1 species
CGAGCGAGCGGGAAGAGCUCAAAUUUAUAAUCUGGCACCUUCGGUGUCCGAGUUGUAAUCUCUAGAAAUGUUUUCCGCGUUGGACCGCACACAAGUCUGUUGGAAUACAGCGGCAUAGUGGUGAGACCCCCGUAUAUGGUGCGGACGCCCAGCGCUUUGUGAUACAUUUUCGAAGAGUCGAGUUGUUUGGGAAUGCAGCUCAAAUUGGGUGGUAAAUUCCAUCUAAAGCUAAAUAUUGGCGAGAGACCGAUAGCGAACAAGUACCGUGAGGGAAAGAUGAAAAGCACUUUGGAAAGAGAGUUAACAGUACGUGAAAUUGUUGGAAGGGAAACGCUUGAAGUCAGACUUGCUUGCCGAGCAAUCGGUUUGCAGGCCAGCAUCAGUUUUCCGGGAUGGAUAAUGGUAGAGAGAAGGUAGCAGUUUCGGCUGUGUUAUAGCUCUCUGCUGGAUACAUCUUGGGGGACUGAGGAACGCAGUGUGCCUUUGGCGGGGGUUUCGACCUCUUCACACUUAGGAUGCUGGUGGAAUGGCUUUAAACGACCCGUCUUGA